rnacentral:tRNA from 1 species
GCAGCCUUAGCUCAGUCGGUUAGAGCGCCUGAUUGUGGAUCAGGAGGUCCCCCGUUCAAGUCGGGGAGGCUGUACCA